GACUCAAUUCUGAAUGCACCUCUAUAUAUAUGCUGGAACAGACUUGCUCAAGUCUCUUCGUGCGUCAGUUAAUUUCAAUUUUGCUCUCAUCAUUCUAUUAGGAUGAUGUCAAACAUACAUUGCCAAUAUUUUUGUAGGUAUUUAUAUUUUUCAAACAAGCAUAAAAAAAUGGAUAAAAAGUAUAAUAUAAAAGCAACGGCAUGUAGACUUAAGCAAGUCGAACACAGAAAAAUAACAUACCCUUUUCAACGUGAUAUUUGUUUUGUAUGCUUACAUGUCGAUGUUAUAAAUUAAUCAAAUAAAAUGGAAAAAUUG
rnacentral:sRNA from 1 species